UUGAACGCUGGCGGCAGGCCUAACACAUGCAAGUCGAGCGGAUGAAGGGAGCUUGCUCCUGGAUUCAGCGGCGGACGGGUGAGUAAUGCCUAGGAAUCUGCCUGGUAGUGGGGGAUAACGUCCGGAAACGGGCGCUAAUACCGCAUACGUCCUGAGGGAGAAAGUGGGGGAUCUUCGGACCUCACGCUAUCAGAUGAGCCUAGGUCGGAUUAGCUAGUUGGUGGGGUAAAGGCCUACCAAGGCGACGAUCCGUAACUGGUCUGAGAGGAUGAUCAGUCACACUGGAACUGAGACACGGUCCAGACUCCUACGGGAGGCAGCAGUGGGGAAUAUUGGACAAUGGGCGAAAGCCUGAUCCAGCCAUGCCGCGUGUGUGAAGAAGGUCCUCGGAUUGUAAAGCACUUUAAGUUGGGAGGAAGGGCAGUAAGUUAAUACCUUGCUGUUUUGACGUUACCAACAGAAUAAGCACCGGCUAACUUCGUG
rnacentral:rRNA from 1 species